GAUGAACGCUAGCGGCAGGCUUAAUACAUGCAAGUCAAGGGGGUAGCAAUACAACCGGCGCACGGGUGAGUAACGCGUACACAACAUACCAUAUACUGGGGUAUAGCUUUGGGAAACUGAAGGUAAUCCCCCAUAACAUUGCGAGAGGGCAUCUGAUUGCAAUUAAAGUUUCGGCGGUAUAUGAUUGGUGUGCGUUUGAUUAGCUAGUUGGUAGGGUAACGGCCUACCAAGGCGACGAUCAAUAGCUGGCGUGAGAGCGCGACCAGCCACACUGGAACUGAGACACGGUCCAGACUCCUACGGGAGGCAGCAGUAGGGAAUAUUGGACAAUGGAGGAAACUCUGAUCCAGCCAUGCCGCGUGAUAGAUGAAGGCCCUCUGGGUUGUAAAUAUCUUUUAUCUGGGAAGAAACAAUCUUAUUCUUUAAGAUCUUGACGGUACCAGAGGAA
rnacentral:rRNA from 1 species